UCGUGAUUUUUUUAAUUUCACAAUUGAUCUUUUUAAUCGUUUAACAGCCCUGAUAUAUUUACAGCUUCAUUCGUAUCUUCCAAGGAGAAUAUCACUGCCGUCCAUCGUUUGCAGAUUCAACGCUGCUUCCAGAGGAGAAUCUAUUUGCUGAACUGUGAUUCCUGCUAACCCAGGGAAGCAAUGGUCGGAUUGAAGCCCACUGACAUCCCUCCAACUGCUACUGUUAAGUUCCUGGGUGCUGGGAUGGCAGCAUGCAUAGCAGAUCUCUGCACCUUCCCUCUGGACACGGCGAAAGUCAGACUGCAGAUCCAGGGAGAGUCCAAGCCUACCAAGAGCGUGAAGACCAUCCACUAUAAGGGCGUCUUUGGCACCAUCACCACCAUGGUGAAGACGGAAGGUCCCACGAGCCUGUACAACGGCCUGGUGGCUGGGCUCCAGCGUCAGAUGAGCUUCGCUUCCAUUCGUAUCGGGCUGUACGACUCCGUGAAACAAUUCUACACCUCCACGGGGUCGGAGAAUGCCGGCGUUCUCACCCGGUUGCUGGCGGGCUGCACCACCGGAGCCAUGGCAGUCACGUGUGCCCAGCCGACCGACGUGGUCAAGGUGCGAUUCCAAGCCCACGUGAGGCUGACGGAUGGAACCAAGAAAUACAACGGGACUGUGGAUGCCUACAAAACCAUCGCCAAGGAGGAAGGGGUCAGAGGCCUCUGGAAAGGGACGUUACCCAACAUCACCCGCAACGCCAUCGUGAACUGCGGAGAGAUGGUUACCUAUGACCUCCUCAAGGAGAUGCUGCUGAAAUAUCAUCUAAUGACAGACACUUUUCCUUGCCAUUUCGUCGCUGCUUUCGGAGCUGGGUUCUGCGCCACUGUGGUGGCUUCGCCCGUCGACGUCGUGAAGACGAGAUACAUGAAUUCCACCCGUGGCCAGUACAAAAAUGCCUUGAACUGUAUGCUCACCAUGGUGAUCCUGGAAGGGCCCACAGCGUUUUACAAGGGGUUCAUGCCCUCGUUCCUACGGUUGGGAUCCUGGAACGUGGUGAUGUUUGUGACCUACGAGCAGCUGAAACGCGCCAUGAUGCUGGCCCAUGAGACGUAGGCGUCUCCAUCCUAAGCCCCAGGGAUGAGACGACAGAGGACAGCCUGGGGGCUCCCGUGGGUUCUCCUCUCCCAGGCAAAGCUGGCUCUCUCGGCUGAACUCUGACCGGGACACACACUCCCAGCCGCUGAGGUGGGGACAUGCGGCUUUGGAUGGACUGUCCGGCAACAGCUGGCUUUUCGAAACCCACUUGUCAUAGUCGGCGAGAUGCCAACAUAUAUUACGUUAUUUAAACAUGCCCAAGGGAUGCAAGAUACUGAAGCGACGAAAAAGGACUAGAAAAAACCAAACCAUCAGUGAAGCCAAACUUUCGAUACGGCCUCUGAGCUCUUCGAACCAUCUUGGAUCCAGGUGCUGCCAUGUGGACAGGAAACUGGAGCAUAAUCCCAGGGUGAUGAUAAAGAGCAAGAGCCGACCGCCCUCAGAUGGAACUGCAGUAGGACACCGACCCGAUCUGCCUGCGGUGCACACUAGUCAGUGUUCUGGAGCUGCACUGAGAGGGGGUUACUGGAGGAACAUUGCCCACCCAUGUGGAUCACUCGUGUCACAGGGGAAUAGUGGCCAUUCAACUGUGUCAUUGUUAUUGCCAUCUUGCAGCCAUUGCUAAUAAAAGAACUCAGAGGGCCCCCAGGGGAUCCCGUUGCGGGUCUCCUGGCUUUUCCUUGGCAGAUUUAGUUCUUUCUCUCAUUUUCCUCUCUGGCCCAUGCUGAAAGGCCUGUGGAGCAAACCCAGAAGGGAUGGCUGAGGGAUCUAAGCAUCGGGUUAGAAAUACCUAGAACGAUCCCAAUGCUUGAAUCCUAGUGGGAUCAGCUCACCCUGCAUCUUUCUGAGCUGGACAAAUGAACCUGCUUCACCGAAAGCACUAACCCAAGGCCAAAGCAACAGCAUCGCCCUGGUCAAUGAAAGACAAUGGCAACUACAGCAGGCAGGCCCCCACCCGAGCAGUGGCGUGGAAUUCACCCCGGUCCAGGUGCAGAAACCUUGUGCUGAAUUUCCCCUUCAGUGCUGAGCUCACAGGAGUGAUUUGGGGAAGUCUGCUCCAGCAGCACCGGCCCCUUUCCGGUCUCCGUGGUUCACAUCCUAAAGGAUCAACAAGGGCCACAGUUAAGGGUCUCUUAAAAACAUCCUUCGCAGGUCCCCUUUAACUGUCCCGGUGGAGCAGUAAAUGGCAUCCCAAAUGAUACAGGGCUUUGCAGAUCAGAAUCACCAGCUUGAGCUACACCUAAUAGCAACGCUAAUCAGAGCUUGCAGCCAGAGCAGAGCACCCCUGUGCAGUCAGUACGAGGCUCAUGCACUUAUCUGGGAUGGACGCACCCUCCAGGCCAAGUGGGAUACGUGCUGCGUACUCUGCUGUGAUUCACUGCACAGAGGUGAAUUUCACCCUCCGUGCACAGCUGCUCUGUACCCACAGCCCCACGCUCUUCACAAGCACUGAAAUUCAUAACCCAUAAAGAUUAGCCCAGCACAGCCCCCUGGUGCAGACGCAGCCUACCCGACAGAUGGAGUUUUCUGUCGGUGCAGGAACACCACCUCCCGGCGUGACAUUAGCUACGCCAACAGAAGCAUUCUUCCAUUGACAUAGCUGCAUCUACUCUGAGGGUUAGGUCGGCAUCAGUCGGGGAGUUUUCUUCAUACUCCUGACCGAUGUAGCUCUGCUGAUAUAACUUUCAAGGGCGGACCCUGCCUUAGAUCAGUGACUCUCAACCUACUGUAUCCCUUUCAAGAGUCUGAUUUGUCUUGGGUACCCCCAAGUUUCACCUCACUUAAAAACUACUUGCUUACAAAAUCAGGCAUAAAAAUAUAGACGUGUCACAGCCACACUGUUACUGACCAAAUGCUGACUUUUGCAUUUUUACCAGAUAAUUAUAAAAUAAAUCAAUUGGAAUAUAAAUAUUGUACUUACAUUUCAACGUAUAGUAUAUAGAGCAGUGUAAGUAAGUCACUGUAUGAAAUUUUACUUGGUACUGACUUUGCCUAGUUUUACAACAUGCUACAUAAAAAGCACUAGCAAAUACCUAGAUGAGUGGAUGUACUUCCUGGAAGACCUCUGAGUACCCCCCUGGGUACGUGUGCCCCUCGUUGAGAACCACUGCCUUAGAUACUACAAUGAUGGGCAGAAUAGAAAACUCUAAGACAGAUACAUCAACAUUCAAUUCUACUUCUAACUGGACUAUGAUUAUGGCAUUAAAGAAUUAA